UCCGAGUUGACCCCGGCAGUCUCCUAUGAGUCCCCACCAUGACGUGCUGGCAACAUAGAACGAGGGUUGCGCUCGUUGCGGGACUUAACCCAACAUCUCACGACACGAGCUGACGACAACCAUGCACCACCUGUGCACGGCCCUUACGGACCCACCAUCUCUGGAGGAUUUCCGUGCAUGUCAAGCCUAGGUAAGGUUCUUCGCGUUGCAUCGAAUUAAGCAACAUGCUCCGCCGCUUGUGCGGGCCCCCGUCAAUUCCUUUGAGUUUUAGCCUUGCGGCCGUACUCCCCAGGCGGGGCGCUUAAUGCGUUAGCUGCGGCACGGAACUCGUGGAAUGAGCCCCACACCUAGCGCCCAACGUUUACGGCGUGGACUAC
rnacentral:misc_RNA from 1 species